AGAGGAAAUUGUUUCCUCGAGUCGUUGAUUUCACACUGCCGAGAAAAGCCUCUAGCUAGAAUUGUGGUGCCCGUACCGCAAACCGACACAGGUAGUCAAGAUGAGAAUUCUAAGGUGAGCGAGCGAACUCUCGUUAAGGAACUCGGCAAAAUGACCCCGUAACUUCGGGAGAAGGGGUGCUCUUUAGGGUUAACGCCCAGGAGAGCCGCAGUGAAUAGGCCCAAGCGACUGUUUAUCAAAAACACAGGUCUCUGCUAAACCGUAAGGUGAUGUAUAGGGGCUGACGCCUGCCCGGUGCUGGAAGGUUAAGAGGAGUGGUUAGCUUCUGCGAAGCUACGAAUCGAAGCCCCAGUAAACGGCGGCCGUAACUAUAACGGUCCUAAGGUAGCGAAAUUCCUUGUCGGGUAAGUUCCGACCCGCACGAAAGGCGUAACGAUUUGGGCACUGUCUCAACGAGAGACUCGGUGAAAUCAUAGUACCUGUGAAGAUGCAGGUUACCCGCGACAGGACGGAAAGACCCCGUGGAGCUUUACUGUAGUCUGAUAUUGAAAUUCGGCACAGCUUGUACAGGAUAGGUAGGAGCCUGAGAUGCGUGAGCGCUAGCUUACGUGGAGGCGUUGUUGGGAUACUACCCUCGCUGUGUUGGAUUUCUAACCCGCACCAUUUAUCAUGGUGGGAGACAGUGUCAGAUGGGCAGUUUGACUGGGGCGGUCGCCUCCUAAAGAGUAACGGAGGCGCUCAAAGGUUUCCUCAGAAUGGUUGGAAAUCAUUCAUAGAGUGUAAAGGCAUAAGGAAGCUUGACUGCGAGACUUACAAGUCGAGCAGGGUCGAAAGACGGACUUAGUGAUCCGGUGGUUCCGCAUGGAAGGGCCAUCGCUCAACGGAUAAAAGCUACCCCGGGGAUAACAGGCUUAUCUCCCCCAAGAGUUCACAUCGACGGGGAGGUUUGGCACCUCGAUGUCGGCUCAUCGCAUCCUGGGGCUGUAGUCGGUCCCAAGGGUUGGGCUGUUCGCCCAUUAAAGCGGUACGCGAGCUGGGUUCAGAACGUCGUGAGACAGUUCGGUCCCUAUCCGUCGUGGGCGUAGGAAAUUUGAGAGGAGCUGUCCUUAGUACGAGAGGACCGGGAUGGACAUACCUCUGGUGUACCAGUUGUCGUGCCAACGGCAUCGCUGGGUAGCUAUGUAUGGACGGGAUAAGUGCUGAAAGCAUCUAAGCAUGAAGCCCCCCUCAAGAUGAGAUUUCCCAACUUCGGUUAUAAGAUCCCUCAAAGAUGAUGAGGUUAAUAGGUUCGAGGUGGAAGCAUAGCGAUAUGUGGAGCUGACGAAUACUAAUCGAUCGAAGACUUAAUCAAAUU
rnacentral:rRNA from 2 species